AGCCCUUUUCACAAUUAAAAAAAAUUCAGAAUGAAAUCAUGUAGCAAAAAGUAAAAUGUAAUGUAUGUGCUUUGUUCAGAAUGGCUACCUCGAAACUUUCCGGGCCCUGGUGGCUCUAACGGACCAAGUGUUGAGGUGCUCUCCUCGGUUCACAGCUUGUACGGAAGGGCCUUAUUUUCCCUCCUCCUAAAAAAUGACAGAACAUUCCAUAUUAUCGUCUUCCAGAAAUAAAUUCCUCAUCGCCGCAAUGCUUCCUCUUUUUUUGACCCAUAUAUGACACAUGCUGGCUGGAAAGUCUGCUCCAUGUGAGGUAUCG
rnacentral:lncRNA from 1 species